GUUCGUUUUGUGUUCAUGCGGAGACACAAAUGGCCAGGGUUAGCAUGAAGUGGUCGAAGAUUUGCCUUUCAUUGGUGAAUUAAAGAACAGAUGUCCAGCCCUCUUUAAUAAGCCAGAGGUGUCUGUGGAAUUCAGUAGGAUUACAACAAUCUUUUUGGUGUCCAAAUUCAUGAGUCAGCUUGAUCAUUUCUCAACUCAGCUAAUCAGUGUUUUCAGAAAGAAAAGAGGAGCAGCAGCACAGAGGAUCAACAACAUCCUGUCAGUUAUGGAUCAGGAUGUCUCCAUCGAAAAAAGACGUGAAUGCAUCCUAAAAGCCCUCGUUGUUUAUGUGAAUGAAGACCCCUCAAACCUUGUGAAGGGGUACAUGUUUCUUCCAGACAGUCCAAAUAGACUGGUGUCCACAAUGCUGAAAAUGCCCAAACUGUAGAGGGAACCAAAGUUAAUCCCAAAAUCCAAAGCUGUGUUCAAUUUCUUUUUAUAUUAUUUUCUUAUUUUGUUAUAUUUUAGUAUUUAUUGCUUAUUUAAGAUGUUAAUAUUCACUUAAAAUUAUUCUUAUACUAAUAUAAUAAAUUAUAUUAUACUAAUAUUCAAUUCAAAAUUCUAUUUAAAAUAUUCAAUUCAAUAAAGAUUUGUUUAUACCUGAUUCAAUUCUGUAUUGUUUUAGUCUUUGACCAAGAGAUGGCGCAAACAUUUUUAAAAGAAGGGAGGUUUGUAGUGGGAGCAGUGGGGUGUCAAGUGUGGCAAAUUUUUGGCGAAUGUGUGGCAAAUGGUUUACAUGGCUCAUGGGUCAGGUAGGAGGGCCCCUUAGCAGAAUUUUGCUUAGGGCCCCAGGGAGGUCAGGAUCAGCUCUGCACGUGAGGCAGUUCCCCUCAUCGUGGGGAAGUAGUGUUUUGAUAUGUCACAUGUCCAUGUUGUGCCAAUUUUCGUUUUUCAUGUGACUUCAUGUGACAUCAAAUGACGUGAC